CUGGCGUCUUCGGCGUCCGCAUUGUAAUCUCAAGAAGUGUUUUCCGCUUCGGACCAUGCCUAAGUCCCUUGGAAAAGGGCAUCAUAGAGGGUGAUAAUCCCGUACAUGGCAUGGAGCGCCCGAAGCUUUGUGAUACGCUUUCUAAGAGUCGAGUUGUUUGGGAAUGCAGCUCAAAAUGGGUGGUAAAUGCCAUCUAAGGCUAAAUAUUGGGGAGAGACCGAUAGCGAACAAGUACAGUGAUGGAAAGAUGAAAAGAACUUUGAAAAGAGAGUUAAACAGUACGUGAAAUUGCCAAAAGGGAAGGGUAGGAGGUCAGAGAUGCGGCCUGGGAUUCAGCCUUGCUUUUGCUUGGUGUUUUUCCCAGAUUGCAGGCCAACGUCGGUUUUGGGCACUGGAGAAGGGUAGGAGGAACGUGGCACCUCUCGGGGUGUGUUAUAGCCUCCUACUGGAUACAGCGACCGAGACCGAGGACAGCAGCGUACUCGCAAGAGCGGGCCUUCGGGCACCUUUACGCUUAGGGCGUUGGCAUAAUGGCCCUCUACCAC
rnacentral:rRNA from 1 species